rnacentral:tRNA from 1 species
GCCUGGGUGGCUCAGUGGUUGAGCGUCUGCCUUUGGCUCAGGUCAUGAUCCCGGGGUCCUGGGAUCGAGUCCCGCCCAGGUU